GAUUAAUAAGAAAAUACCGGAUUAUUAGGCAAAACGCAGAGAUCUUCCUCAAAUGAAUUCACAUUCAUGGCCAAGAAAGAAAGAGUGGCAGUGACUCAGCUUGUGUUAAUGUUAUACGAAACGUACAUAAAAAAAAAAAAUGAUAAUGAAAACAACGAGGCCAAGCCAUAUGGAGACGAAGGAGAGGGACUGAGGGAGCAAGUUGGCCAGCCGAUAUUUUGGGGGGGCUGUGGUCAGGUCUCUGUUGUAGCAUCAUACAUUUGCAAGAAAAAUCUUCACUCGCCCUAUGGCGUUACCUCGCCUGAUCAUAUUCUAUACAUAUUAAUUUAUUAUCCAUUUAUACACAUACAUAUGCUUUUGCUUUUUCAUUUGCAUGCAACGUGACACACCUUAGUCUAGUUUGUCACCAAUUUGUAUACGACUGGACGACCUUUUUU
rnacentral:lncRNA from 1 species